rnacentral:rRNA from 1 species
UGGGGAAUAUUGCACAAUGGGGGAAACCCUGAUGCAGCGACGCCGCGUGAACGAAGAAGGUAUUCGUAUCGUAAAGUUCUGUCCUAUGGGAAGAUAAUGACAGUACCAUAGAAGAAAGCUCCGGCUAAAUACGUGCCAGCAGCCGCGGUAAUACGUAUGGAGCGAGCGUUGUCCGGAAUUAUUGGGCGUAAAGGGUACGCAGGCGGUUUAAUAAGUCGAAUGUUAAAGAUCGGGGCUCAACCCCGUAAAGCAUUGGAAACUGAUAAACUUGAGUAGUGGAGAGGAAAGUGGAAUUCCUAGUGUAGUGGUGAAAUACGUAGAUAUAUGGAGGAACACCGGUGGCGAAAGCGGCUCUCUGGUCUGUAACUGACGCUGAGGCUCGAAAGCGUGGGGAGCGAACAGG